AAGUCGUAACAAGGUUUCCGUAGGUGAACCUGCGGAAGGAUCAUUAAUGAGUAUACAUGGAGUUGUUCUGGUCUUUCGAGGCAGGUGAACACUUCUCUCAUCCAUCUUACACCUGUGCACUUUUGGGGAAUACUUUGGACUCAAGCUGGAUAACGGCGGCGGUCUCAAGUGUUCUCAUUACACCAAACACAAUGUCUAGAAAGUAACUUUGCUCAAUGCAAUGUAAAUACAACUUUCAGCAACGGAUCUCUUGGCUCUC
rnacentral:misc_RNA from 1 species